UACGUAGGGGGCAAGCGUUGUCCGGAUUUAUUGGGCGUAAAGAGCGUGUAGGCGGCCUGAAAGGUCAGCUGUGAAAACUCGAGGCUCAACCUCGAGACGUCGGUUGAAACCAUCUGGCUAGAGUCCGGAAGAGGAGUGUGGAAUUCCCGGUGUAGCGGUGAAAUGCGCAGAUAUCGGGAAGAACACCCGUGGCGAAGGCGGCACUCUGGGACGGUACUGACGCUGAGACGGCGAAAGCGUGGGGAGCGAACAGG
rnacentral:rRNA from 1 species